rnacentral:tRNA from 1 species
CACUAAGAAGCUUACAACACAGCACUAGCCUUUUAAGCUAGCGAGGAGAGCCACUCUCCUUAGUGA